rnacentral:rRNA from 1 species
GACGAACGCUGGCGGCGUGCUUAACACAUGCAAGUCGAACGGUAAGGCCCUUCGGGGUACACGAGUGGCGAACGGGUGAGUAACACGUGGGUGAUCUGCCCUGCACUUCGGGAUAAGCCUGGGAAACUUGGUCUAAUACCGGAUAGGACCCUGGGAUGCAUGUCCUGGGGUGGAAAGCUUUUGCGGUGUGGGAUGGGCCCGCGGCCUAUCAGCUUGUGGGUGGGGUGAUGGCCUACCAAGGCGACGACGGGUAGCCGGCCGGAGAGGGUGACCGGCCACACUGGGACUGAGAUACGGCCCAGACUCCUACGGGAGGCAGCAGUGGGGAAUAUUGCGCAAUGGGCGCAAGCCUGAUGCAGCGACGCCGCGUGAGGGAUGACGACCUUCGGGUUGUAAACCUCUUUCAGCACCGACGAAGCGCAAGUGACGGUAGGUGCAGAAGAAGGACCGGCCAACUACGUGCCAGCAGCCGCCGUAA